AUUGAACGCUGGCGGCAGGCCUAACACAUGCAAGUCGAGCGGAUGAAGGGAGCUUGCUCCUGGAUUCAGCGGCGGACGGGUGAGUAAUGCCUAGGAAUCUGCCUGGUAGUGGGGGAUAACGUCCGGAAACGGGCGCUAAUACCGCAUACGUCCUGAGGGAGAAAGUGGGGGAUCUUCGGACCUCACGCUAUCAGAUGAGCCUAGGUCGGAUUAGCUAGUUGGUGGGGUAAAGGCCUACCAAGGCGACGAUCCGUAACUGGUCUGAGAGGAUGAUCAGUCACACUGGAAUUGAGACACGGUCCAGACUCCUACGGGAGGCAGCAGUGGGGAAUAUUGGACAAAGGGCGAAAGCCUGAUCCAGCCAUGCCGCGUGUGUGAAGAAGGUCUUCGGAUUGUAAAGCACUUUAAGUUGGGAGGAAGGGCAGUAAGUUAAUACCUUGCUGUUUUGACGUUACCAACAGAAUAAGCACCGGCUAACUUCGUG
rnacentral:rRNA from 1 species